rnacentral:misc_RNA from 1 species
AACGGUCUAUACCUGCGGUACCUGCGGAAGGAUCAUUACUGAAUGAUCAUCCUUGAUCUUCUCACCCUCAAACCACUGUGGAACACAAGACUUGCUUCGGCGCUUAUGGCGCCGCUCUUAUGCUCAAACAAUGUUGUUUUUGUCUGAAGAAUCUAAUGUCAAAACUUUCAGCAAUGGAUCUCU